rnacentral:siRNA from 1 species
ACUGGUGUGAUGAUGUGUCA